GGAGAGAUGUCCGAGCGGUUGAAGGAGCACGCCUGGAAAGCGUGUGUACGUUUAUAGCGUACCGAGGGUUCGAAUCCCUCUCUCUCCGCCA
rnacentral:tRNA from 1 species